rnacentral:lncRNA from 1 species
GGGCAGAGGGAGUCAAAAGUAUGAAGGGAGAAGCAGCCCACGCUCGUCCUCCAGGCCCUCCCCACGCUGCCAGGGAGCAGCGUCCGUGUCACCUGAGGAGGCAGAUGCUCCCCUGCCCUGGCGUGUGGAGGGAAGACGGCGCCAAGGCGGAGGCACGGGAGCAUCUUUCAUUCCUCCCCCCAUGCUUGCUGCUUCAUCAACAUCAACGUCCUGCUGCCAGGGCUGAUGAAUGGCUCAGGAGCGUCACAACUCGGUGGCUCUUAUGCCACGUGCGCUGGCAGCUGUCACCGCCGUCCUACCUGUGACCCACACGUGUCUUCCUGAAAUGGCCGAAAACAAGCUUUCCCCUCAAAUGUUGCUUUCUUCUCAGAGUCAAUCAGCAAUGCUAAUCAAGUCUGUGUGCUUAGCUAGGAUUUUGGACCUUCUUACGUGAAGGCGUCUGAAAGGAGGUCCCCUUUCCUGAAGGCUGACUGUUGCUUUGUCUCCAGGGGUGUUCCCUACAUGCCAGAGCUAAGCACAGGGUUGGAGGCUAGGGAAUGGAAAAGCUUCCCAAUUCAGGCAUUUCUGGAAGCAGUUGUGGCUAUUUCAGGGGGAGCUACAAACACAAGGCAAAGAGUCUUUUGAUCCCACACUUCUGUGUGAGCUUCGGAGAGACAAUCUUCCGGAUCUGGUGGUGACUUUUAAAAAAAGCGUCUCUGGAAUCCAUCCCCAGGCAGGCAGAAUUCGGUCUGAAGAUGCUCCCCAAGAGCACCUCAAAGAGCACCAGCAGGCCUUCCUCGGCAGGGACCUCCUUUAUCCAUGAGCGUUCUCUUCCCAGCCUCAUGUCCCACGGGUCCCUCCACUCUCUCCCUGAAGUCAGAUGGCGCUGGGGUUUCCCUGCGGGAACCACCCGCACAUUCGUGAGUGGAGAGAGUGCCAGCCGGGAGUCAGGCUCACUUGACUGAAGCUCCGCUUCCCUCGCUCCCCACCCACCCCUUCCGCGGCUCAGCCUGGAUCCCGCUGCUCGAUUCUCCAAGUGCCGCGUUCAUGCUGGAAGCCAGCGUUCCCCACAGUGUCUUCUGUGAAGACAAAUCCUGGGAGACGUUGGCGUUCCGGGAGAAGAAAUCGAUUCCUCAAAAAUAAGCAAAUUUUUAAUUUAAGGUGAUGUUUCAAGGAGACGUCGAUAUAUUAACGUGCUUUGCGAGUGUUUAAGAGGAAGGGGUGAAGGGCAGGGUUCUCCAAAGUUGUUGGCUACCUGGAGACCGUCUCGAGGAGUUGGACUAGAACUUGGUACUCACGAUGAUAAGCAGUGACAGGCCAGGCGCGGUGGCUCACGCCUGUAAUCCCAGCAUUUUGGGAGGCCGAGGCAGGUAGAUCACUUGAUGUCAGGAGUUGGAGACCAGCCUGGCCAACGUGGUGAAACUCUGUCUCUAUUAAAAAUACAAAAAUUAGCCGGGAGUGGUGGCGCACACCUGCAACCCCAGCUGCUCCGGAGGCUGAGGCAUGAGAGUAGUUUGAACCCGGGAGGCAGAGAUCGCAGUGAGUCCAAAUCGCGCCACUGCACUCUGGCCUGGGCGACAGUGAGACUCCAUCUCAAAUAAAUAAAUAAAUAAAAUAAGUAAAUAAAUAAAUAAAUAAAUAAACAAACAAACAAUGACAACAUUCCAUGCUCCAGGAACUGGUCUCGGUGCGGUACUGAAGAUUGAUUCAACGGUGAGAACGUCAAGCACGUACUAGUCUCCACGGGCUUACACUGUGGAGGAAAAAAUAUAAACAAACAAACAAAAAUAGCUAUAUUAUACAGCAGGAAGUGAGAAGUGACUAGAAGAAAAGUCAACCCAGAUAAGAAAAGGAAACAAUUAUAAUAGAACUUGAAUAUUUUAUAUCUUUUCUUUUUACACAUUUUGACAUUUAUUAUGAAAAUGUUGCAAGUUGAGAUAAAAUUAUAACAAAUCCCCAUAUGCUAAUUACUUUUUAAAUUAUCUUGUUUAAUCUAUAGACGCACCAUUCGUUUCCUGGUGUAUUUUAAAACAAAUUACAGACACCAUUCUAUUUUAAAUAAUAAAUGGUUUAGCAUAUAAAUCUAACAAAUAAUGACUUUUUGACACAAUUGCAGUGGAAUUAUGGCCUCUAAAACAUUAACGAUAAUUACUUAAUAGUACAGGUUGAUUCCUUGUCUGAAAUGUUCGGGAUCAGAAUUGUUUCAGAUUUCAGAUUUGUGGGGAUUUUAGAAUAUUUGCGUAUACAUAAUGAGAUAUCUUGGGGGCGAGACCUAAGUCUAAACACGAAAUUUAUUUGUCCUUCAUAUGCACCUUAUAUGCAUAGCCUGAAGAUAAUUAUGUAUUUUCACUAAUUUUGUGCAUGAAACAAAGGUUGUGGACACGAGGUCGCGUAUGAAUUUCUUUACUUGUGGUAUCAUGUAGGUACUCAAAAUUUUACAAAUUUGGAGCAUUUUGGACUUGAUUUUUGGAUUAGGGAUGCUCAACUUGCAUCUAAUACUCGGCUAGUAUUAUUUUAAUAAUUUGCUAAUCACCUCAAAAUGUCUUUUAUUAUAGCCAGUGUGUUAGAGUGCAAAAAAAUAAGUAUUCACAUUGCAUUUAGUUGAUAAAUCUCUUACGUCUUACUUGGAAGGCAUUUCCCUCCCCGCUGCCACCGAACCAUCGUUUCUUCAAUGAAAAGGCAGAUUUGUUUUUCCUGUGUUUUUUUCUCCCAUUGUGAUUGGCUGCCUGCAUGCUAGAACUUUUAUGUAACAUGUUCAUCUCUGUACCAUAUAUCUUCUGUCAAUUGGUAGAUAGACCUACAGCCUUCAUUAAAUUUGGCUUCAUUCUUUAGGCAAAAUUAAUUCAUUGACUGUGUUUGAACUUCUUGUUGCACUGUAUCUGGAGGCAGGUAUUAUGGUUGGCCAGCACGGUCCCAUGGUGCCAAUCUCAAUCCUCUUUCAAAAAAUUGCCUCAGCAUACUUUGCUGCUCCUGAUCUAGGAGCUACUGGUCUAGGAGCAAUUUUAUUCAGGCUUUCGGAGUUAUGAUUUUCAAUUUCUACUAUUUCUUCUGCAUAAUUAGCCAGAAUCUUUCUAUGCAGAAGAAACCCUUCUAAAGAUUACAGCACUUUGGGAGGCCGAGACGGGCAGAUCACGAGGUCAGGAUAUCGAGACCAUCCUGGCUAACACAGUGAAACC